rnacentral:lncRNA from 1 species
CAAAUGUCUGAAGAUUUAUUAUCAUUAACUUGUACAUAAUUCAUGUGAACCCCCUCAAAUGAUUCUUCAAUUAGCCUAUCUUGAUUUAAAGCAUUUUGGGUUUUUCUUUUUUGUUGUUUUUUUGAGGAAGAUUAGCCCUGAGCUAACGUCUGCUGCCAAUCCUCCACUUGUUGCUGAGGAAGAUUGGCUCUGAGAUAUCACGCAUGCCCAUCUUCCUCUACUUUGUAUGUGGGACUCCUGCUUAAUAAGCAGUGCGUAGGCCCGUGCCCAGGAUCUGAACUGGUGAACCCCGGCCCACCAAAGCGGAGCUGGCUAACUUAACCACUGUGCGACUGGGUACCCCAGCAUUUUGGUUUUUAAUUCACAAAUUUUGUUCAACAAUCAUUAGAAGACAAAUUGGCAAGGAAACAACACACGCUCAAGAGUCAAAAGGACAGCUGAACAACAACAAAAAACAAACAAGCUGAUUUAAAAAUGGGCGAAGGACUUGAAUAGACAUUUCUCCAAAGAAGAUAUAUAAAUGGGUAAUAAGCACAUGAAAAGGUGCUCAGCAUCACCAAUCAUUAGGAAAAUGUAAAUCAAAACCACAAUGUUAUACCACUUCACACUCGUUAAGAUGGCUAUUACAAAACAGAAAAACAAACAAACAAAAAACCCCCGGAGGAUCAGUGUUAGCAAGGAUGUGGAGAAACUGGAACACUUGUGCACUGCUGGUGGGAAUUGAAAUGGUGCAGCUGCUGUGGAAAACCAUAAGGCUGUUCCUCAAAAAAUUAAAAAUAGAAUUACCAUAUGAUCCAGCAAGUCCACUUCUGGGUAUUUAUCUAAAAGAAUUGAGAGCGGGGACUCAAACAAAUAUUUGUACACUGAUAUUCAUAGCAGCGUUAUUCACAAUAGCCAAAAGCUGGAAGUAACUCGUGUCCAUUGAUAGAUAAACAGAUAAGCAAAAUGUGAUAUAUAUAUACAAUGGAAUAUUAUUCAGCUUUAAAAAGGAAGGAAUUUGGCAUAUGCUAUAACAUAGCUGAACCUUGAGGACAUUAUGCUAAAUGAAAUAAUGCAGUUAUCAAAGAACAAAUACUGCAUGAUUACACUGAUAUGAGAUACCUAGAGUAGUCAAAUUCAUAGAGACAGGAAGUAGAUGAUGGUUGCCAGGGAUGAGGUGGAAGAGGGAAUGGGGAGUUCUUGUUUAAUGGGUAUAGAGUUUCAGUUUAGGAAGAAGAAAAAAGAGGAAAAAAGUUCUGGAGAUGGAUGGUGGUGACGGUUGCACAACAAUGAGAACGUACUUAAUGCCUCUGAACUGGACACUCAAACUUCACACCAUUCACAUAUAUAUGUAUAGUAUAUUUUACUACAACAAAAAAGAGUCAAAGGAAUCCAGAAAAGAAGUCUGAUGACUGGGAGAACCUAAUUAAUGGCUUAAACUUGAACCAAACUAGUUGAAUUACGCAUCGCUCUGCAUAUCCACCUCACGAGGGACUGGGCCUCCAGAGCCCAUCGCACAGCACUGAGCGCCAAUACUAAUGGACCAAUGGUGCAAAGGCCAGAGCAGGGAAGAAGCAGGGGCCGUUCAGGGGAGAUUUGGGGAACAGGGCUGGAGGAAUGUCUUCCCAAGAAUGAUCCCUCCCACAGAGGGCCCAAACAGUCAUCUGGAGAAGCAGCAAAGGAGCCUUCAGGAUGGAGACUGCACUGACGGAAACUGCGUCAUCCCCAUCUUGUCCUUAGAACACACAUUCCAUAG